rnacentral:rRNA from 1 species
UUGUUGGAGAGUUUGAUCCUGGCUCAGGACGAACGCUGGCGGCGUGCUUAACACAUGCAAGUCGAACGAGGUCCACCGCGUAGCAAUACAAGGGAAGACCUAGUGGCGAACGGGUGCGUAACACGUGAGGAACUUGUCCCGGUCUCUGGGAUAACAGUUGGAAACGACUGCUAAUACCGGAUGACGUCGGAAUCUCGCAUGGGAUACUGACGAAAGGGUUACUGGAUCGGGAGAGCCUCGCGGCCUAUCAGCUUGUUGGUGAGGUAACGGCUCACCAAGGCAUCGACGGGUAGCUGGUCUGAGAGGAUGAUCAGCCACACUGGGACUGAGACACGGCCCAGACUCCUACGGGAGGCAGCAGUGGGGAAUCUUGCGCAAUGGGCGAAAGCCUGACGCAGC